rnacentral:rRNA from 1 species
CGGGUGAGUAACGCGUGGAUAACCUGCCUCACACUGGGGGAUAACAGUUAGAAAUGACUGCUAAUACCGCAUAAGCGCACAGUACCGCAUGGUACAGUGUGAAAAACUCCGGUGGUGUGAGAUGGAUCCGCGUCUGAUUAGCCAGUUGGCGGGGUAACGGCCCACCAAAGCGACGAUCAGUAGCCGACCUGAGAGGGUGACCGGCCACAUUGGGACUGAGGCACGGCCCAA